CAGUCGCCGCGGGAAUACGAAGGGGGCUAGCGUUGCUCGGAAUUACUGGGCGUAAAGGGAGCGUAGGCGGAUGAAUUAGUCAGGGGUGAAAUCCCGGGGCUCAACCUCGGAACUGCCUUUGAUACUGUUCAUCUUGAGUAUGGGAGAGGUGUGUGGAACUCCGAGUGUAGAGGUGAAAUUCGUAGAUAUUCGGAAGAACACCAGUGGCGAAGGCGACACACUGGCCCAUUACUGACGCUGAGGCUCGAAAGCGUGGGGAGCAAGCAGGAUUAGAUACCCGCGUAGUCCCUGUCUCUUAUAC
rnacentral:rRNA from 1 species